rnacentral:tRNA from 1 species
GGCUAAACCCUAUAUAUCUUA